GCUCCCACCUGGUGAUGACCGACGGAGCGCUGACAGGCACGUCCAGGGCAUGGCUGCUCCCCCGCGCCCCGCCCUCCCCAAACAUCUCUGACGGACGGUUGGCUGCAGCCCAGGAAGCACCGUCGCGCCGCGGCCUGCAUCCCAGCCCCGCCCCUCCGAGCGGGAAGGAGGGCUGUGUGGAAUGCUCCAGCUCCCUCGCCAGCCUAAACGCAAGCCCGCUCUUUCCAGUGCAAUAAAACGAGAUGUACAACAA